AAGCAGACACGGUUUUACCGGGCCAGCGUCGAAAAGGGGGGAGGAACAAGAACUCGAGAAUGUGGCGCGCACCUUCGGGCGCGCGUGUUAUAGCUCGUGUUGACGCCUCCAUCCCUUUUCGAGGCCUGCGAUUCUAGGACGCUGGCGUAAUGGUUGCAAGCCGCCCGUCUUGA
rnacentral:rRNA from 1 species